GAUGUUUGGGUAGCAAAAUCUUACAAUUAUUUCACAUGUGACCAUCUUUCUAGACAGGUAAGGGUAAAUCCCUAGUAAAACAUGAUUCUUUUUGUUUUACAUAAAUUUUUAACAAAAUUUUAUAGGCUUAAUUUCCUCUGACCCUGUUAGUCAAACAUAAUCAGUUGUUCCUGAGCCAUCUCCUAAUGACUCAGGAAAACUGGCAAGUCUUCAGGAAUUUUGUGAACCAAUAGUUUGAAAUCAACUAUGGUGGUGGUAUUUUCACCACAAAAAUUGGUAAAUGAUACAAAUCAUGGCUCUUUCUUUUUUCCAUAGUGUGUUUGCUGUUAAAAAUUUGAUAGCAUGUUGCUACUAAAUAUCCCUUCCACCGAGCAUACGUGAAGGAAGUGUGAGUAGAUGAAGUGUUAUCAGAAGAGGCUGUAUAAAUUAGCAUAUUGCUACAAUCUUUAUAUUUUAUCCUUCAAGGUCUCCAAUCUUCUCACUGCCGGUGCCUAAUUCUUCAACAUUUUAAAUAAUUCAUAUUUAGAAUCACUGGGGUGCCAUGAAAAACACCCACCAUUUAAAAUUUUCUACAUGUUAACAUGCCAUUUAUAAGAACAAAAUGCAUGUUUAACUUUUCAUUCAGCAGAGUUCUAGGAAGGCUAUAAAUAGCCCAUGCUUUUAAAAGAGGUUUCAACCUCAGUUUUCUAGAAAGAAUAAGAAAAUGUGUACUGGCUAUUUAAAGCUUACCCUGUCUUAACAGACGGAAGAAAAAGCUUGCUGAAUCCUUAAAAAUCUUCAUAAUUAAUAUCAGACUCUCUAUGAUUAUCAAUAUCAUGUAUCAACUCAAAUUCUUCUUAAGGCAUGAUAAAGUAACUGGAAAAAUAACACCAAUAUUUAAUUGGUGUCUUUUAAGUGACAGGCACACUUCCAGGCAUGGAGGAUAUAUCAGUGACCCAGACAGAUCUUUGCUCUCCUGAAGCGUUCAUUCUUGUGGUAGAAGAGAAACAAUAAACAUGAAAAAAGACUAACUAAUAGGAUACUUUCAGAUAGUGAUAAAUUAUGUAAAGAAAACAAGACUGAGAACAGAGAAUGAGCACACUGAGCACAGUUUGUCUUCCACAGAAAUCUCAUUUAUUCUUAUGAUUUAACUCACAGAUUCAUCAUGACUUCUUUAUUAUUGCCAUGUUGAUAUUUUACACAAAACUCAGCAAAACAAAAACAAAACUCACUUCAGGUAGACCGUAAGUAUAAAUAUGUUUGAUGUUAAAAUUAAUUGUAGUUUUGUACUUAAUACUUUACACCAGUAAAUUUGACUUUGUUUGUAUUCAGUUACUGCUAUGAGCUGGGUACUGGUAUGAGAAUCACAGCUGCAUUUAAAAACACAUACACACAUAAAAUGUUGUUCUUGCUCUUCAAGGGUCUUCUGCUCUAGCACUCUUGUGUGAAAGAAUAAGAGACAAUUCCAGCUUAAAUUAAUUAUUUCUAUGGAAGAUUUAAGCAUCUGGCUGUUGAUGAUAUUGAGUAACAUAAAUAUUUCUGGAUAAGUGAAGGAGAUGUUCAGCACAGCUUUCCAAAGGAGAAUGCAUUCAUGUUAAGUUUUAAAGAAUGAAUAGUAGAUAGCAAACUCAAGAGGGUGAAGAGGAGAGAACUACCAGGUUAAGGAAAACCACAAGGAGAUUUGAAUGACCAAUACGUUUGAAUAAACAUGUUAAAUUUGUUGGUGAAUGCAAAGCAUAGACAGAAAACAGUGGUUAAAUAUGAGACUGGAGAUUAACUGUGGGUUAAAUCAUGAAGUGCUGUUAAGGUCAUAAUAAUUCUGUGCCAGAUUCAUGGAGAGAAAUGUCAAAGAUUGGUAUUGAGAAUUGUGUUUAAGGUCAAGGCUUUUUAUCAUAGCAGUCAAUUAGGAGAGUAUUUCGCUGCUUGAGAUGGAAAAUAAGGAUUUGUAGUAAAUCUUAGGGGGUAGGGUAUAAUUCUUGAGAUAUUUAUGUGGUGGAAUUGAUAGGAUCUGUGGAUUUUUUGUACCAAAGUGAGGUGGAAGGGUAACAGAUUAUUCUAGGUCAUUCUAGAUUAUUCUAGCUUAUCUAGAAUGAUAAAACUAUGACUGGUAGUUCCAUUCUCAAAAAAUGGUGAAUUCAGGAUGAGGAAUCUGCAGUUCUCUGUCUGGUUUUCAAAGACAUUUAUAAUUUGGCAUGUAUCAAUCUUGCACAUUUUAUCUCCCAUUGCCUCCAAACAUAUUCAUUUCCCUGUUCUCCUCAGCAACUUUAACAGCCCUUGCUGGGCUAUCUUAUUAAUCACUCAAAGCAUGUUAUUGGGCUCCUUCUAUGUUUCAGGCACAGUUCUAGAUACUGGCAAUUUAGCAAAGAAGAAAACAGACAAAUUCUUUCAAAGAGCAUACAUUCUCUUUGGGAAGCAAGGCAUUGAUCAUUCUGGCUAUUUCCUGCUGAAAGGGAAUGAAGAUGGGGUAACUGAGGAGUGAGAUUUUUCAACUUGAGAUUGAAAAUAUUCUCAGGUUCCAUAAAGUAUCCUGAAGUUCUUUGCACCUGCCAGGGAAGUGACCUUCUUUACUCACCUGAGUCACCAAGGAAAACACCUACAGCCAAGCACUGAAUGGAAAAAUGCUUUACUUACAUAAAGAAGAGACAGCAAGAUCAGCUUCAAAGGAAAAGCAGAAGAUAAUUGAAGAUUGAGGGAAUGAAGAAAGGGAGACGUUCUAAAGGACCAGAAAAGAAGCAGUUCAUGAAGUUAUACUUGACAAAGUUUUGUCCAGGUUUUUGGAGAUGAAAAUUGGGGGAUUAAAAUCAGAAUUACAACUAACAUCAUUGUUAGUUUUCUGGGUGCAAUAUUUGCAAAGUUGGCUAGUUUGCAUAUAAAGUAUUUUUCAUUCUGAAUUAAUUUAACUUCAAAUAAAAUAUUCUGUAGGUUAAAAAAAUAAUAACAAGUAUUCAAGUCAAAGUGUAUUGUUGUACCCAGAUAUCUAAACAAGAAUACUUCCACAUGACAGUUACAGAUUGGGAUAUGGUCUCCCUAGAGGUGAGUUUGCUUCAUUCAUUCACCCUUUUUUCUGCUCAAGUUUGUUGCUUCGUGUUAUGGUUACAAGCAUAGUGGCCAAUGCAUUAGCAUUGCCAAGAAUCCACUUACUUAAUUCUAAAUGCAAAUGCUACCUAAUGAAAAGAUUUUUCUCCCUUAGAACUCUCCCGAACAUUCUGUGAAUGGGUGUUAUUGGGCAGCAUAUAUUCUCUGUGCCAGGACCCGAGUGUUCCUGAAUGAUUUAGUAUCUUUCAUAAAGGGCUUCAGUAUCAGUGGGAAAUGACAAUGAGCAGAAUCAACUGAAUAAGUACCAAAAUGUUCUCUGUUACUGCAUGCUAAUAAUAAUUAUGUGGUCUAUAAAAUUGAUUUAAUUUCCACAACAUUCUGUGCAUCCUAUGCAAAUUCUUUGGAUAGUACUAAAAGUAGAAUAAAUCAUUAGCUACCUAAAGCACUCUUUGCAUUUUACCUAUUUCUAUUUUUUAUGAGGAAGUCCUAGCUCUUUAAAUCUUUCAAAAUUUUGAUAGGAUAUUUAUACAUUUUUGUAUUCAAACUUUCUACACAAUAUCUAGAUUUGAAAAAUAAUGUAUCUACAGGCAGUCCUGACCAACUCAAUCACAAGGAAGAAAGAUUUGCAGCAAAGAGCCAAUAUGGGCUAUUUUAUAGCAUAUCAUCUGGAUGCCUGAACUAUAGAAAACCCUAGGGAAUAAUUAAAUUUCCAUACCUUAUGUGGAGUGACCAUUAAAGAAGAUAUCGCUAUUUGUGGACCAGUUAGAAAGGCUUGGACCCAAGGCUCUUUCCUUUAUAAUUCUGUGGGUUUGCAAUGAGUCGUAAUUUGAAAUUCAUGAAUAUAAAGUUUCUUCUUACAUCAAAUGCAUGUAGUGGAUGUUAUACACAAUAUUAAUAACUCUAGAAAGAAUGGAGUUUAAUAGUAAAUCAAACUAAGCAUACAUUCUGGAACUCAUAUUAUUAGACUUUGUAGUUUCCUAUUUCAUUUUUAACUGUUUAUACUGAAAGUUUGAGGCUAAAUUAUGUUAAUUCUCAGAGGAUAUAAAUGCACUAAGAAAGCCUUCAGAAUGCUUUCUAAACAACAUUCACUCUUUCAAGCUAUUUAGUCAGUUUUUAUUGCAGUACCUGUUAAAAGAAAGUCUGUAGCUUGAAAAAAACAUAAAAUCUCUAACAACUUAAAAGAAACUUAGAAUGUUGAAAAGGUGGCUGAAGAAAAGCUGGGAAAUGGCUAGAUAAAUGAAACUAGGCAACUCAACUGGAAACUAGAAAUUUAAACGCAAUGCAUUAUGUUGACCAUAGCUUUAUAGAGUUCCUUCUUCUAGAAGGGUCUUAACUGAGGUGUAUAUAUUGAGCACCUGGUAGCAGUGCUUCUGGGUUCCCUAAGCUACAUUCUUUUCUCUGUAGUUUUCCCUAUGCAAUCUCUCUACAUGUUUAAACCCAAGUGUCUUCUAAGGUCCUGUUUCCACAAAAAAUUUCUUAUUCCCCCCAUCAAAGAUGUGGUGUACCUGAUCGUAUUGUCAUGCAACACAUUAUACACUAGUUUGGCAUUUAUUACAGACCAUUUUAUAUAAACAGAAGCUUCAAAUAUAAUCAAGAAACAAAAUGUAUAAUAAAGAGAAUAGAUCUUACGUGCUCCUAGGAGAGAUCAGUGCUGACUGAAAUAAUCUGUGAAGGCCCUAGGAAGGAAAUAUUUGGAACAGGCCUGAAGAAAAUGCUGAGGAGCAAGUUCUUAACAGAAAAGUCACUCGAACCUGCCUAUAACCCUAUUGAGAAUUAGCUCGGGUGGCGAUAAGGAGAUAGUCUUUCAUAAACUUACAAUAUAUGAGGGUGUGUCGGAAAAACUUCAGUUUUCCGCCUCCUGUGCAGGCAAAAGCCCAGUUCUUCCCUACUAUGUCAUUCGUUCUUGUGUGUCUCCUUUACUAUGCACACAGAGCACUUCACCUUUUACACUGCUGGUCACCAAAUGUGUGGAGGUUUUUCCCUACACCAAGCAAUUCUCUGACACCAGAUGGAUGUCCUACAACUCAACUCAAUUCUGACACCAUCUAUGUGGAGAUAACGUCAUAUCCCACAGGUUAAGGACUCGGUCCACAGGACUGCUCCCCACUUCAGAUGCCAAUCACAAGUAGUAGGUCCCCAGGUUACCCACAACUUUUGUCCAACUUGGCCACAAAUCAGAAGUUCUCAUGCCCUCCUGCCCCUUGGAUUCCAUUACUUGCUAGAGCAGUUCACAGAACUCAAAGAAGCACUUACUUACAUUUACCAGUUUAUUAAAGGAUAUGAUAAAGGAUACAGACGAACAGCCAGAUGAAGAAAUACAUAGGGUGAGGUCUGGGAAAGUCCCGAGCCCAGGAGCUUCUGUCCUUCUGGAGUUGGGGUGCAUCUCUCUCCUGGUGUGAAUGUGUUCACCAACUUGGAAGCUCUCUGAAACCCCUACUACUGGGAUUUUAUGCAGGCUUCAUCAUGUAAGCAUGAUCAAUUACUAACUCCAUUUCCAGCCCCUCUCCUGUCUCUGGAGGAUGGGGGAUGGGGCUGAAAAUUCCAGGCUUGUAAUCAUGGCUUGGUCUUUCUGGUGACCAGACCCCAUCCAGAAAUCACCACUAAGUCCACCUAGGGUCACUUCAUUAGAGUAAAAGAUGCUCCUAGUGCUUUUACCACUUAGGAAUUUACAGGAGUUUUAGGAGCCCUGUGCCAGGAACUGGGGGCAGAGACUAAUAUACACAUAUAUUUUCUAUUAUCUCACAGUGGGGCUAGUGGAAAAUGACAUUGAAGAAGUUUGAUCAACCAGUCUCACAAGAGUGAGGAAAAUUUUUAAGAUGAAAGAAAUAAUGUAGAUGGGAUGACUUGUCUUUGCAUUCAAUAAAAUUAGAGGCAUUUUUUAAAAAGUCUCUUGUUAAAGCAGUGACCCUGGAAAUGGAAAACAAUAAAUACAUUGGCACCUUGUUAAAGAGAGGAAAAAUCUGAGGAUGAGCCCCAGGUAUUAAUAUCUGGUGGUGAAAGUACAGUUGUUUCAAAAGAGCUGUCUCAAAAAUGAAUGUGAGUUCAGAGAGCUUUGAAGCUCCCAAAAUAAGCAAAAGAGAGAGACAACUUUGAAGUCCAAAAUCUGUGUUGUUUAGCACCAGACUGCACUACCUCAAAUUUGCUCUGGUUAAGUGGCUAAAAAGAGAGGAAAAGUGUGCAUAGCAGGCCAUGUUUGCUGUCUUGUGAUCUCUGUUCCCAUCUUUCUUUUCUUUCCUAGUGAGAUCCUGAUUGCGCCGGUAUCCACGUUCCUUAGCAUUCUUGGCUAUGAGUUUUAAAGAAGACUGGACACAAAUCCAGCCAUUGAGGUCCAUUCCCCUCAGUAAUAAAUACAGACAAAGAUAUGGAAAAUAAAAAGAAGGAUUUGGUCAUUAGAGAUAAAAAUGCAGCAAAGAAACAAAACUGGGAACACUGGAAUGAAAUUUGAAUUGAAUGGAAGUGGAGUUACAGAAGAAAUUUCGAACUGUGAGAAUGUGAUCCUGCUGCAGGUGGGGAGACUCUCGGUAAGCAGCCUCAGGAUCUUGGUGAAAGCGACCUUAACUAUGUAAAUGAGGAAAGUGGUUGUGAUGAAAAGAAUGAAUAUAUCACAGAGGAAAUGACACCGGCAAAAAAACUCUUGGAGAUAUUUCAAAACAUUGAAAGCACAAAGGAUAAAAUGUUGGAGACUGAUACAAUCUUAGAGAGAAGUAUGGCAACUCACCAAGGCCAUAGAAAAGAUUCCCACUCUAAGUUAUACAAGGAGAAGAAAAGACAUAAGCUCUGUUCAAACUACACUUGACAAGUUUUUACAAAGAAAU
ensembl:lncRNA